ACGAACGCUGGCGGCGUGCCUAAUACAUGCAAGUCGAGCGGAAUGAUGAAGAAGCUUGCUUCUUCUGAUUUUAGCGGCGGACGGGUGAGUAACACGUGGGCAACCUACCUUGUAGAUUGAGAUAACUCCGGGAAACCGGGGCUAAUACCGAAUAAUCCAUUUUGCUUCGUGGCGAGAUGUUAAAAGGCGGCUUCGGCUGUCACUACGAGAUGGGCCCGCGGCGCAUUAGCUAGUUGGUAGGGUAAUGGCCUACCAAGGCGACGAUGCGUAGCCGACCUGAGAGGGUGAUCGGCCACACUGGGACUGAGACACGGCCCAGACUCCUACGGGAGGCAGCAGUAGGGAAUCUUCCACAAUGGACGAAAGUCUGAUGGAGCAACGCCGCGUGAGUGAAGAAGGUUUUCGGAUCGUAAAACUCUGUUGUAAGGGAAGAACACGUACGAGAGUAACUGCUCGUACCUUGACGGUACCUUAUUAGAAAGCCACGGCUAACUACGUG
rnacentral:rRNA from 1 species